CAAGGUCAGGAAAGAAUAAAGUCAUCCGAGGAAAAAGAAAUGAGUUACUCGCUUACUUUCAUCCGCCCUUUAAUUACAAGGAACCAUCCUGUCGUGUGGCCAGCUCAUGUUGCUUUGGCCCUAGGUUCUUGGAUAGAUGAGAACAAGGAAGUUUGGGUGUUCUAGUUCAUUGGUUCUUCUGUUAAUCUCCUGAAGGCUUGGUAUCUCCGAAGCUAUGGCUAAUCAAGUAGAUGGUAUUCCAGAUAUUGUUUUGUUAAAUUGUUUCAUUGGAGGCCUCACAAAAGAACUCCAGGCGGAAUUAAUUCCUUGGCAUCCUGUUGAUAUGGAUCAAGCUGUCUCUUUAGCAAAAAUUUUUGAGAAAAAACACCAGCUCAGCAAGAAAGGCUAAUUUUCAAAGAAUGUUUAUCAACCGUACAUUUGAGUUAAACCGUUAUUGCCUCCAAUUCCUGUCACCACAGUGGGCUCUUCGAGCAUGAGUACUUCUCAAACUAUGACAUCGAGAUCUGGUACAACAUCUUUUUCGUCACAGCAACCCAUCUGCCAAAUCAAAUUUAAUGAGAUGCAAAUCCGGAAGGCCAAAGGAUUGUGUUUCAAUUGCGUCAAAAAAUUUACUCCUCAGCAUAUUUGUCCUAAUAAAUGCCUUCUUCUUUUGCAAUGGGAUGAUAACAGUGAUGAGAUAGCUGAAGGUGAUUUCAUAAUUAAUACUCAAUUAAUUACUGCUAAUCUGUCUUAGGGACUAAUGAAGUCUCUUAAUGCCAUGCACACUACCACUACGGUGGGUACUAUACGUUUAGCAGGAACUAUUCAAGGGCAUCCCAUUACAAUCCUAAUUGAUGGAGGAAGUGAUGAUACUUUUCUGCAACCAUGGGUAGUUGAUUUUCUUAAACUACCAGUCUUACCAUCCCCACCAACUAAGGUUUUGGUGGGCAAUGGCCACACCUUACAGAUUGAAGCAUUUAUUCUUAAUCUCAAUCUCAUUUUUCAAGGGUAUUCCUUCCAAUUGUCGGUUUAUGUUCAAGCUAUAGCUGGGGCAGAUUUAAUUGUGGGAGUUUCUUAGCAUUAGAAAUUGGGUCCUCACAUGAUUGAUUAUGAGCAACAAUAACUUCAAUUUUAUUAUGGUGGCAAGUUCAUUACUUCUAAAGGAAUGCAACAACUUUCUCCAACUAAUAAAUACAAGGUUAUUUUUUCUAUUUCUCCUGGCUUACCUCUGGCGAGGCUAUGCAAUCACCACAUUCCUUUGCAACCAAAUAGCUCACCAGUCAAGAGACGGAUGCCUCCGGCUAAGCAGUGGGUGUCGUGCUAAGUCAAUGCAAUUAUUCGAUCGCAUACUUCUCCAAAAAAUGUCUCUUCGGAUGCAACAACAAUCAACAUACGUUCGUGAAUUAUUUGCUCUUAUGGAGGCUGUUCAGAAAUUCUGGCAUUAUUUACUCAGACAUCGUUUCAUCAUGUGCACUGAUCAACAAGCUUUACGCCAUCUGUGUUAAAAAACAAUUCAAACCCCGAGCAACAUAGUUGGUUACCUGAGCUUCUGGGUUUUGAUUUUAGCAUUGAGUAUAAACCUGGUAAAGACAACCAGGCUGCGGAUACAUCCAGAUGUUUGCACUUACUUUGGUUCAACCCAAUAAAUCUUUUCUACAGGUACCUCAGUUAUUACAAGCUUCAGAUGAUACAUAUGGAUCUAUUCUUACUGCCCUUGCCAACAACAAACCGGGCCAUGAUCAUUUUACCCUCCGACAGGGUUUGUUAUGGUGGAAAGGACGCUUAGUGAUCCCAAAUGAUGCUUGUCUUAAGCUUCAUCCCUUGAAGACUUAUCAUAAUUCUCACUUGGGAGGCCAUGUAGGAUCUUUAUGGAUGUAUAUACGCUUGGCUGGCCAGUUCAAUUGGCGAGGUAUACACCAGGAUGUACAAGCUCAUAUCCAACAAUGCCUGAUACUGCCUACAAGCAAAACAUUUCACAACUGCACCUGUUGGUAUGUUGCAACCUCUUUUCAAUUCCCACACAUAUUUGGGAGGAUAUCAGUAUGGACUUUGUUUGUGGUCUUCUACUCUCCAAGGGUUAUUCGGUGAUAUUCGUUGUCAUUGAUCGUUUGUCUAAGUAUGGAUAUUUUGUACCAUUGAAAUAUGAUUUUUCCAGCACUUCAGUUGCCAAAGUUUUCAUCAAGGUUAUGUUUAAAUUGCAUGGGCUUUCAAAGUCCUUGUGACCAUGACCGAGCAUUCACCCAGUUAGUUUUGGCAACAUUUUUUUUUUCUAAAAAUGG